rnacentral:rRNA from 1 species
GUGGGGAAUAUUGGACAAUGGGGGGAACCCUGAUCCAGCCAUGCCGAGUGUGUGAAGAAGGCCUUUUGGUUGUAAAGCACUUUAAGCGAGGAGGAGGCUACCGAGAUUAAUACUCUUGGAUAGUGGACGUUACUCGCAGAAUAAGCACCGGCUAACUCUGUGCCAGCAGCCGCGGUAAUACAGAGGGUGCAAGCGUUAAUCGGAUUUACUGGGCGUAAAGCGCGCGUAGGUGGCCAAUUAAGUCAAAUGUGAAAUCCCCGAGCUUAACUUGGGAAUUGCAUUCGAUACUGGUUGGCUAGAGUAUGGGAGAGGAUGGUAGAAUUCCAGGUGUAGCGGUGAAAUGCGUAGAGAUCUGGAGGAAUACCGAUGGCGAAGGCAGCCAUCUGGCCUAAUACUGACACUGAGGUGCGAAAGCAUGGGGAGCAAACAGGAUUAGAAACCCUUGUAGUCC